AGUUGUAAAAUACAUAUUACAGUAGAUUUCUUUUGUGUGCUACAUUGAAACUGAACUUUGUUUCACAGACUGAAGAAAGAACAAGGAAAUGAAACGAAAUGAGACUAUGAAACACUUUGUUUUUGGGUAACAGCUUAAAUUGAUCCUGAGUAAGGUAAUUGGACUUUACUCUGUGUGAGACCCAGGGUCCAAUAGGCCAUUCAUGUU
rnacentral:misc_RNA from 1 species